CUCUUAUCCCGAGCUGGUGGAGGGGCAGGCCCUAUGAAACCCGGCAACCUGCGUAUAUUUUAUACGUGUUGGUGCCAACCUGAUGCAAGGGCAAAAAUUCCCUUGAACGAUAAGAG
rfam:Solibacillus silvestris StLB046 DNA, complete genome.